UCACUUCUCUCGAUAAUCCUAAAACAUAGCGUUAGAUCUGUUUUUCCAGUCAUGACAAUCUCACCUACGAAUGGUCCAAGGCCCGAAUGCAAUCAUCCCCAAAACGAUUCAUCAAUCUUCUUCAUCUGAUUUCACCCACGCAUCCUCUCUAGAUUACGAUCGCUGUGUGAUUCGUUACUCACAGCACGAAGCAUAAGGUGACAGAAAGGUAUAUCCGCCAUCGUUCCUUCAUCACACACACACUGUAAAUCACAUGAAUAAGAAACCAUGUUUAUGACAUAUCUACCACUGAUUAUGUGUAAUUUCAUGAAAUUACAUUUGCAUAACGAGAUUUAUCUCAAUUGGAGGCAGCGAGUUCACGAAUAACCGAGAUGAACGUAAUCGCAAGUGUUUCAGAAGGAAAGCUUAGUUAUGUUUGAAGUUCGAUCCCAAACCGUGGUACUUUGCAAAUUAAAAUCGAUACGUUGUACUUUGAUAACCAUAACUGCAGAUCUUGUGCAUAACGAGACGUGUUUUUGUCAUAUCUAAUUUAAAUUAGUCGUAAUUUCAUGGAAUUACUUGAGCAAAAACAAGGUUAUAUCUCAAUUUGAGGUACGUAGUUCAGGAAUACGUGAGUUGAAUGUGAUCGGAAAUCUCACAAGUGUUUCAGAAGGAAAUAUUGAGUACCUAAGUUCUAUGGAUACUUAGUAAUUAGCAACUUCGAUGUUGAUAACGUUGUACCUAUAAGCUAUAACCUUUUUGAGAUAAAAACGGAGAGAAUGUAUCUCUAGUAAACUGAACUUUGUUCUCACGGUUGAUGAAUGCAAAGAUGAAAAGAAGAGAAUGGAUAUUGAAUUUUGUUACACAAUAUUACAUAUGAUAGGAUAGUACACGAUGGUACUAAUGAUCACAUAGAAUGAUGCUGCUUUCCCACUAUUCCUGAAUAGCCAAAUUUUUCAUAACAGAUAUCUAUUAUGAAAGCUGAGAUCUUAGCUGUGUGUCCAGGUCAUCAUCCUCUCUGUCAAUGAGUGAUGACACAUCAAUUCCAUUCAUUUUAACAUGCCCCUUGAAGAUAUGAUGUGGUGAAUGAAUAGCAUCAAGCUUUCUUGGAAUUGAGCAAUUUGUCAAUGGCUUUGUAAGGAUGUCUGUUCUGAUUUUCUCUUUAUUAAACAUUUCUGGAAGCAACUUUUCUUCCAAUUAUCUGAGCUUCAUGUUUGUUUUACAUUGGACGAUUACAGGUGCAUGGAGCUUCCAAAUUACAUAGCUGUAUUUCUUCAGGUACAAAUUUCACCCUUAAUUACAACUUGGAAAAGAAAACCUUUUUUAUUAUGAUGAUGAUUAUUAGUAAUGUUUUGAACUUAACAUGCCUUAUAAAUUACUGUUCAAUUUGUAAUGCAAGUAUAGAAAUUGCAUAAUAAACUUGUUUUGCUCUUAUUCUCUCGUUUGGAAAUGAACCAGUAGAUGGAGAAGUUGCAGACAGAUAAUACCAAUUAACAAUGUUAUGAUAGUUUCAUAAAUAUAAACCUGUAUACAUAAUUGUAAUAACUAAUAUUUAAAUUUUACAAAUAAUCAUGCCAAAUAACCCUAUACUUAUAAAGAAUGACAAUUCACCCCUCCCCAGGGGACUUAUUCCAUCCAGAUCGUUACCAAAUCCACCUUCGUAUUAGUCGUACAUAGUCUAAAAACGGUUUAUCUGGCACUGGUAUCAACUUCACAAACCAACCAAUAGGCCAUGACAACGCUGCAAUCGCUAUACAAAUCCCCCACUGCCCCCAAUUCAGUUUCUCAGUAUCUGCAAAAUUCUUUAAAAACUCCACCAUCACAAUCUGAAGAGCAACAGUCACCACAAUAAUCCCCAUAAACAAUCUGUUCUUAUGAAGCCCUUGAAACACAUUCCUCUUCUCCAGCUUCCUCGAGUUGAAUUCAUUAAACACUUGACAGAACACAAAAGUAUUGAAGAUAAUCGUAUUCUUCACUCUCUCAUCAACAUUAAAGAUCGAUUUACCUUUAAACUGAAACGUCAAAAGAACCGUUAUCUGAUACAUAGCUUGUGCCAAUAAGUUCCUCCACAUCACAUUUGUUAUAAGCGGGGCGACCCGACCCACGGGCGGGUUAUGCAUCAGUUCUUUAGUGGGUCGCUCCGUGGCAAGUGCUAGUGCACCUAAAGUAUCCAUAAUCAGAUUGACCCAUAAUAGUUGGACUGCUGUUAACGGGACAUCACCAGCUGAUACAGCUGCAACGAAGUUUAUAACAAGAGCUGCAACAUUCACAGUGAGUUGAAAUUGAAUAAACUUUUGUAUGUUGUUGUACACACACCGACCCCACCUUAAAACAACUGCAACAGAAGCGAAAUCGUCAUCCAAAAUUACAAUAUCUGAACUUUCUUUAGCCACUUCGGUUCCUUGAAUCCCCAUUGAAAGCCCGAUAUCGGCUUCUUUUAGAGCCGGUGCAUCGUUUGUUCCAUCACCCGUGACUGCAACCACGUGGCCUUUCUUUUUAAGACACUUCACCAUUAGAAGCUUGUCAAAAGGAGAGGAUCUUGCCAUUACUUUUAUAUUAUCGACUUUUUCCAUUCUUUCAUCGUCUGUGUAGUUUCGGAACUCCUCGCCUUCUAUCACUUCACCUUUGUUGACCGUUUGACCUCCUUUCAGAAUCCCACAUUCUGUAGCUAUGGCUUUUGCUGUGAACACAUUGUCACCUGUUAUCAUUUUGAUCUCCACCCCAGCAGAUCUGCACGCGUCUAUGGCUUCUUUUGCCCCCGGUCUACACGGGUCCUUAAUCCCGACAAUUCCUAACAAUGUCAAUUGUUCUUCGUUUAGUGUUUUGUAAUUCGUACCUUUUGGAAUCUGUUUAUGAGCAAAGGCGAUGCAUCUCAGGCUGCUUGCUGCCAUUCCUUGGAUUAUGUUCUCGAGGCGUGUCUUUUCUUCAUGAUUUAUAGGCUUUAGAACACCGGUUUUCUGAUAAUAAUUUGAACACAUUGCUAGUAUGAUUUCAGCAGCUCCUUUCCAGUGAACAUGUACAGUGUCAUCUUCUUUCUUCAUAACCGAAAUCCCACUCCGUUUCUUCUCGGAAUUAAACGUCUCGACAUGCAAAACGGUACAAUCCCGUUUCAGUUUCUCCAUAUCCAUACCCAAAUUCGUUACCGCCCAUGAUAAAAUUGCCUUUUCCGUUGGACUGCCGGAAUACUCGAUUCCGGUUCCGGAGUUGUAAACGGUACCGGUUGUAUUUAAACCGACUCCUUGAUGGUACAGUCUGAUGACUUGCGUAUCUAUUGUAUCGGAAUUAGAGGAGUUGUCUUCAAUGAGAUCGAGACCGAGCCAGAAUUUUGUAACUUUCAUUUUGUUCAUGGUUAAAGUCCCGGUUUUAUCCGUGCAUAUAACAGUGGCGGAACCCAUGGUUUCACAGGCGGACAACUUUCUAACCAUGGCUUGAUCCGCCAUCAUUCGUUUCAUGGAGUAAGCGAGUGUGAGUGUAACAGCUAGCGGUAAUCCUUCCGGGAUCGCCACCACGACAAUCGUCACCGCCGCUGCGAAAAUACGUGUAACGGAAUUGAGUAUAUCGUUCGUAUCUGUACGUUUCCCGUUGUAUUCCCGAUUCCCGUGUUCGUCUUCUGUGUUUCCGGUGAAAUACCGGAUUAACAUGACCACAAGAACAAGGAAAGCAACCGCAAGACCAACUUUCCCGAUUGAAGACGUGAGUUUAUUAAGACGAGCUUGUAGCGGCGUUUGUUCGUCGGAAUCACCGGUUACGGAGCUCAUCAUCUUUCCCCAAGCGGUGUUCAUUCCGACUGAUACCACAAGCAUUCGGCCAUGCCCGUCUGCCACUUUUGAACCGGAAAUCAAAAACGGAUUCCGGAUGGAAUCAAUGUCUAUAUGAUCACUUUCUCCGGUCAUGCUCGACUCAUCCACAAGCAAAGAGUAACCAUCGAUGAACAAUCCGUCAGCCGGAAUCUGAUCUCCGAUGUUAAGAAUCACAACAUCUCCAACCACCACAUCGAAAAUCAAUAUCUUUUGUCGCCUUCCAUCUCGUAUUGCAUCGAUUUUUAUAUUAUUACUUAUUUUUGACAACUUGUCAAACUGUCUUUCUUGCCGGAAGUUACUCACCGCUGAAACAGCAAUAACUAGAAAAACUGCCACGAAGAUGCUCCCACCUUCGUACCACCCUUCUUUCGCCCCUUCUUCUUUGAUUCCAAAUCCAAGCGAAAGUGCUGCACAUGCGAGUAAUAUCAGAAUCGUGGGGUCCUUAAAAGCCUCCACCACAAAGUAAACAAACCCUUUCGGGGGUGGUUUAUUGUAAGUAUUGGAACCGAAUGCGUUUUUUCGUGUUUCCAUCUCGGAAUCACUGAUUCCAUGCUCGAGAUUGGUUCGUAGAGAUUCAGCCAAGCCCGUGACACCGUUUAAAUUUCCAAGGAUCUCCAAGUCUUUGGAUUUGACCAAAUCGGUGAGGUCUGUUUGGUCAAUGCUUGCGAAUUGGUCGAUAGAUUUUGGGAUGCUGAUUUUAAGAGCAGUAUAUGAAGGUGUUGCGACUAUACUGGGAAUAGGGUAGCGGGGAAGUUUGGCGAUGGAUAGCAUAGUGUUUGAGAAGUAAAUGGAAAAGUAAGCUCGACGCCAUCUUUUUUGGGCUAUAGUAAGUGUAAUUGUGCUUAUGUUAUAUAGCAUCCCUCCAAUGUCACAUUGGGAUUCAAUUUCGGAAACCAUUUUUUGGAAGUUUUCGUAUGCAAGGCAAAAGGAUGCUCAGUUGAGGAUGAUUAGAUGAGAUGGAAGAAUUUCAAUCUUAGUACUUGCGUCUCUUAUAAUACAUAUAUGCUUUACGAAAGUUCAAGGAAACUGCAUAAGAACCCAUUUGUUGAAAACAGUCUCAUUCUGAUAUUUUUACUUAUUUAUACAUUAUACAUUGGUUUUCAUUAAAAUAAUUGUUUCUAUCAUCUCUGUGUUUUCUUGGUUAUUAAAUGGCAUCCAUAAAUAAAAUAAAAAAGAACACCUGGUUACCUAAAAGGACAAGUUAACAAUUUUUACGUGUUAAAUGCGUGGUUUUUUUUUUUUUUCAUAAAUAAAUAUUACCUGAUUGUUUAAGGAAAAAAAGAAUGAUUUAUUUGUCGGCCAUGCCCAUAGACAGUUCGGCACGAUUUAUGAUUGUGUUAACUCCGUCAAAACAACCGCCUUCCCAUUGGAUUAAUGCUGCCGUUUUCGGACUUGCGAUGUUGGUUUCUGCUGUAUUUAUGAAGUUCUUAAUUAAAAUUAAUAUAAUGUAUGUUAUAAUUUUUUAGAAAUUAAGUUAAUAUGCUAAACAACAAAAAUGUAAAAUAACUAGAAGUAGAAAUAGAGGUGCAUAAAAUAAUGGAUUUUAAACGAUCCGGAUAAAACCGGCAAUAGGGCAAUCGGAUGAUCCGUACUCUGUCCGGAUUUUUGUUUUGAAAUUGGAAGUUUGGAACUCGAAGGAUUUUGGAUUAAAAAAAGAACAAAUUAUUAAAAUCAUCCCUGUUGUUUAUAAAAGUUUUAUGUUUGGUCCCUAACUUUUUUUUUUUUUUUUUUACUUGGAUAGUCCCUAUAGUUUGUUUUUAUUGUGCUUUUUUAUCCCUGAUCAAACAUGGAAAGACUUUUUUGCCUUUUAUAUUUUUUUAGUCUUUGUUUCUUAUUUAUAAUUUAAAAAAGUAAAUUUAAUAUUUAAUAGAUAUGUGGGGUCCAAUCUCACAUUCACUCCCAUUCCCACCACCAGCCAUUGAAAACAACCGGUGACCACCAUAUUCCACUGGCGGCCACCAACGACCUUCGAAAACAACUAGAACCCGCUGACGACUUUUGGAAACCUGAAAUGAUAUUCGAAAUAAUCAAAUCCACCACCACUCGUACCCUCUUUCACCCGUCUUUCGCCUCCGGCAGCCUCCACCAUUCACUGUCGACACUUCCUUGUCACCUCUUCUAACCACAACCACUUACCACCAACAUCAAAUUCAAACAAAACUGAAACAAAAAUCAAAACUGAAAGCAACAAAUUCAAAAACUCAAAAGAAAACACACACAAUUUAAGUUUGCUUGAAUCAAGCACCAAAAUUAAGGACAUUAAGGUUUAUUUAAGAAUUUCCAUCUAUGAAUAACAUUUAAGUUGCAAAAUUACGUUUUUUCCCCUGAGAUUCAAUUUCCAUCAUCCUGAAACUGUAAAAUCACAUAAACAACAUGUUCAUGAAUAGAAAUUUUCGUUCAUGAAUAGAAAUUUUCGUUUUUUAAUUAUGGGAUUCCAAGUCCCUAUGUAUAUAAAAACAAUUCAGAUUUGGAGAGACCGAGAGGGAGGAGUAGAAAGCAAUGAGGAGGUAGAUCAGCCGAUAGGAGAUAGGGAGAAGGAUCCGAAGACCUUGUCUGAACAUCUUGUUUGUACAUCUCUUCGGUGAUGAAGAUCUCAUCUGAUUCGCCGUCACCGAAGACCACCACCGUCGUAAACUCGUCGUUGUGGUCGGUUAUCUGAGAGAGAUGCCUGAGUGGGAAGUCGGGUGAGAAGGUAACUGGUGGUAGACAGACGUCGCUGAUGGUGGGUUAUUAUGAUGCUUUUUAUGUGGAAUGAAGGAGAGAUUUUGAUAAGGGGCCGUUAUAGGAGAUGAUGGGUGCGAGUGGAGUCCAAUCUUUAUUAAACAUUUUUUUAUUUUAUUGAAUAAAUGAAAAAAAUAAGUACGGGUAUUAUAGUAUUUUCACAUAUGUUAGAGGCGAAAUUCGCAAUAAAAUCAAACUAUAAGGACAGCCUAAUGCAAAAAAAAAUAUAUGAGAGACCAAACAUGAAAUUAUAACAAACCACAUGGACCAUUUCAAUAAUUUCUAAAAAAAAAAUCAACUUUUUGUUUCUCACACAACAAAAUGCGUUUUCACGUUUUGGCAUGAUAACUCAUCAUCUACACAUGUUGUAUUUAAAUGCGUACAACAUUUCUAGUUAGCCGACUCCUCGUGUUCUUAUUUGUCCACGUGUUAUGUCCAUAUCCGUUUUGCUUAAAUCUUGAUUACAACAACAAUAUUUUAUUGGUUAACUAGGCGAAUGUCCUCGCGUUGCGUAGAAAUACCUAUAUAAUUGAAAUAUUUAUAAAUAUAUGUUUUCUUAAAUAUAACAAUAACGUUGUUAAAUUUGAUAUAAUAAUUCGUAUAUGGAAUUGAUAUAAUAUAUUAAUUAUUUUGAAUUAUAUUAUAAUAUAUACAUCUAUUAAAACUACAUAAUGUCAAUCGUUUGAAUGACCCAUACCCCCGCGGGUUACUCAUAAAUGAAAAUAAAAAAUAAUAUAUGGUUUAAUGUUAUUUGUUUUUGUUAAUUAAUUUUUUAAAAUUUAUUUGUUUAACAUUUUAAUUUCUAUCAUUGUAAUUAUUUAAAACAUCAAAAAUUAUUUUUGGUUUUUAAAGGUAACAAUAUAAGCAUUUAUAUAAAGUUAGUUUUAACUAUUGUUAUUUUAAGUUAUUUAAGCUAUUUAUUUGAAAAUUUAAAUGAUUAUAAAAAUAUCUUUAGGAAAUAUUUUAGUUAAAUUAAGAUUACAAUUUAGUUUUUUCAUUUAACACAACAAUUUAUCAUUUUUAACUAUUCAUAAAAUAUUAUUUGAGUUUUUUAAGUGAAACUAAAAUUUAUAUUUAAGUUGACCAUGUAAUGUUAUAUUUAAAUUAACAAUUUAAGUAUUUUAUCAAAACUAUUCAAAAGUGUAGCUUUAAACUGAUAAUGAGUUACAUAUAACAACAUAUUAAAUCUAAUAAAUUAAGUAUAAUAUGUUAAAAAUUAAAGACAUAAUUUUAUUAGUAGAAGUAAAGAUAUUAAUUUAAUAUUAAAAUUUAUUUUAUUUAUGAUUACACUUUAUGUUUGAUAUUUAUUUAACUUUAUUAACCAACUUAUAAUCAUGAUUAGAAAAACACUAUAAUUGUCACUUUUAACUAUUUACAAAAUAUUCUUUGCGUUGUUUAAGUUGAACUAAAAUUUAUAUUUCAGUUAACCAUGUAAUGUUAUAUUUAAAUUAACAAUUUAAGUAUUUUAUCCAAACUGUUCAAAAGUUGUAGCUUUAAAAUGCUAAUGGUUUACAUAUAAUAACAUUUUAAAAUUAAUAAAUAAAAUAUAAUACGUUAAAAGUUAAAGACAUAACUUUAUAAAUAAAAAUAAAUUAACAAUUUAAGUGUUUUAUCCAAACUAUUCAAAAGUUGUAGCUUUAAACUGAUAAUGGUUUGCAUAUAACAACAUAUUAAAUCUAAUAAAUUAAGUAUAAUAUGUUAAAAAUAAAAGACAUAACUUUAUAAGUAGAAGUAAAGAUAUUAUUUUAAUACUCAAAUUUAUUUUAUUUAUUAUUACACUUAAGGUUUGAUAUUUAUUUAACUUUUUUAACCAACUUAUAAUCAUUAUUAGAAAUGCACUACAAUUUGUCACUUUUAACUAUUUAUAAAAUUUUCUUUGCGUUGUUUAAGUUGAACUAAAAUUUAUAUUAAGUUAACCAUGUAAUGUUAUAUUUAAAUUAACAAUUUAAGUAUUUUAUCCAAACUGUUCAAAAGUUAUAGCUUUAAAAUGAUAAUGGGUUACAUACAACAAUAUUUUAAAAUUAAUAAAUAAAAUAUAAUACGUUAAAAGUUAAAGACUUAACUUUAUAAAUAAAAGUAAAGAUAUUAUAAGAAAUUGAAAAGUCAUGAGAGUUUUAAAUGAAUGUGGUGUCUUGGGAGUUUCAAAUGCAUGAGGUUCAAGGAAAAAUGCUAGCUUUAUAAGAUAGAUAGAUAGAUAGAUAGAUAUAAUUAUUUAUGUUAGUUGCAUUGAAACCCAUCUUAAUAUUACAACUAUCUAACUUCUAUUUAGAUUAUUAUGAAAUCUCCAGAAAAGUCUUAAAAUUUUGAGUCAUCUAGUCCUAAAUUAAAUUUCAUUAAUGAAAAACGACAGGAAACCGACUAUUAUAAUCAUUUUUUCCCUUUUUACCUUUUCAGCAAGUUACUGCUGAUGUGGAGUGCCAACUGUAUUGCUGAGCUGAGGUGGCAUCCAAUUCCUUUACAAAGUAAAAAACCAAAUUAAACCUAGUAUCCUUCCUUUAUCUUCUCUAACUCACUUAAAACCCUAAUUUAUAAUUGAACCAACAAAAUAAGGAGUUAAAACCGAAGGAUUUAGGUAAGGUGAAGCAAAUGGAAAUUGGAACUCACGGUGGUUGUAAAGCGAUUAAGCUUAGGAAAAUGUUCACCAAACAAGUUUUUGACCACCCACAAGAACCAUCGAGCUUUAUUAUCUUCUCAAUAGACCAUCAUGCUUCAUCUUCUUCGAUUUAAAUGAGUUACGAAAAAAUUUCUGUACUUCAUUCUUCUCUCCCUUAAACAACGUCACUAUGCUAAUGUUUCCGAUCUUGAUCUCCCCCACAAUAGCGACAAUAACAUAUCACCAUUCCAUUUUUCGGGUUGGGAAUCUUGAGAUUGUUUUGAUUUGAGUGAUGGAGGAAAGAAAAGGAGAAAGCAGAAAAUCCAUUAGGGUUUAUCGUGAAGUAGAAUAGAUUACCUGAUGUGAAUAGAAUUUUAAGCAGAAGAAGUCUUAAGGUCGUGUUUUGGUGAAUUAAUAUGGAGGAAGAAGUUGUAGGUUCGUCUUUACAUAUGGAGGAAGAUGAAGGUCAUAAGGAUUAAUAAAUAAAUAUGAAGAAAACAAAAUAAUAACUACUUCUAGUUCACUUGGUAAGUUGUCCGGUUUGUGAGUGGGAGGUUAAGGGUUCGAGUCCACCUUCCCUUUUUUCCUAAAAAAAUUUGGUUUUUUACUUUGUAAAGGAAUGGAAUGCCACCUCAGACGCCAUGUCAGCUCAGCAAUACAGUUGGCACUCCACAUCAGCAAUAACCUGCUGCUGAAAAGGUAAAAAAGGGUAAAAGUGAUCACAAUAGCCAGUUUCCUGUCAUUUUUAUUAAUGAAAUUUAAUUUAGGAUUAGAUCAUAAACUGGUCCAAAAUUUUAGGACUUUUCUGGAGAUUUCCCUAGAUUAUUUAUCAUUAAAUCAAUACAACUCAAUAAAUUUUAAAUAGAUAAUUAAUUUAUAUUUAUGAUAUUUAAUUGAAUAAUAUUAGAAAUAUUUAAACUGAGUUAGGUAAGCUAUUUCCUUUGUAACGUAUUAGCUUCAUUUUCGGUUUGUCAUAUGUUAGUUUAGAAUGUAUAUGUUCAGUAGAUAGUUUGAAUAAAAGUCACUACUAGAAACCUGACCUACAUCGACGAAACAAUUCGUUUCUAUUCCGUCGCUAAUGGAUGUUUGCGAUGGAUCAACAACAAACCUCCUCCAUAGCCAAUUAAAAUGUGGCUAUUGAUUUAGCUAAUGAUUUAGCGACAAAUCAGUUUUUCCUUGUGACGUACUUAGCGACGGAUAAUCCAUCACAAAUUUUGUCACUUAUUUCAGUUUUGUAUGUCAUUGGUGGCAAACUUAAUAACAUUAUUGUGUCGUUGAUCCAUCGCAAAUAUCCAUAUUGUUUUUUAUAGUCCCUCGCAGAUUCCUCCCAAAUUUUAAGGUACCAUAUUUUUUUUCAUUCCUUCGUUGCAAAUAUAUAAUAUCAUUUUUUAUUACAAACUAAAACAAAAUACCAAAAAAAAACAAAUAAUUAAAUCCCAAAACAAGCAUUAACAUCUAAAUACCAAAAUCAUUAAUUAUUAUACAAUCCAAAUAUCAAAUUUUAACAUUGAUUGAUAUUUGAUUUCAAAGUAAAAUGUACCAAAAUUCUCAAUUUCCUCUCAUAUUUUGCAUUGCUCAAUACAUAUUCUCCAUUGUUUCAUAUCUUGCAUCGAUUUGUUGUUGUUUGACCUCCAUUUAUGCAACUUUAGCAAACAUCUCCCCACACAUUGAUUUGUUGUUUAUACACAACAACAAAUAUACAUAGUGUAAGUUAAAUAGAACAUCAAACAAAUUUAUUUGUGUUCAUGUAAGUUAAAUAAUAUAUGCUAUAAACCUAUUUAUCAAGUAAAAUCAACCGAAAAGUAGACUUAAAAUUCUUUUGUGACUAACCAUGUUCAUUCAAGUAAUCAAUGAAUAACCGUGUAGAAAUAUCAGUAAGAACAUUUGCUUAUGGACUAGAAAAUCCAUCUUAACAAAUGCUUUUCAUCAAUUCCUAUAAUUUAUUUACACAUGUGAUAUAAGACUUUAAAUAAUUCUGAUUACACAGUCAAACAAAUGUAAAGAAAAGUCAAAGUAAUACCUGAAUGGUGGAACAAGUGAUUUUUUCAACACAAAAUGCAGUUCCACAACAUGGCUCUGUCAGCUCAGUAUGUCCAUCAAAGUUUGUUGACUCCCAAAAGAUUUUGGAAACAGAAGGGCAUAAUUGGGAAAUCAAAUAAAUUAAGGAAGUUUUAACAAAUUCAUUGAUAGAUGAUGUGCUACAUGACAUUAUUUUGUGUGAGCUCAUUUCGUACGGGCUUCAAUAGCAAAAGUGGAAGGUAAAGAUGAUAUUUUGUAGGGUGAACUGCAAUGUUGUUCAUAAUGACUAUUUGACUAAGUAAAAAACAGAAUCAUUUCAUAUACUCCCUCCGUCCCAAAUUAAUUGUCCACUUUUGACUUUUUAAGUCUUUUUUCUUCAACUUUGACCUUAAAUAUUUUUAUUUAUGUUAUAUAUUACUUAAUAAAACUUAUAACAAUGAAAAUAAUUUUAAAAUACAAGGCAUUCAUAUCUUUUGCAUCAAAUAUUAUCUAUCGAAAACAAAAAUAUUUAAGGUCAAAGUUAAAGAAUAAAGACUUCAAAAGUCAAAUGUGGACAAGUAAUUUGGGAUGGAGGUAGUAUAAUUUAACUUGACACAAAAGAUUUGUUACAGUUUCUAAGAAAAAAAAUACAAUGAUACAAAUUACCUGCAUAUUUGAUGAAGUUUUCACCAUAUAAUCAAUUGGAGGAAUCUUGUCCUACUAACGUAAAGACAUCUCACAUAUCGUGUAUCAAAAUAACAUCAUUAGAAAAUUAAAAAAACAUGAACAUGAUAUGAUAAUAUUUGUUGGUGUUCUCUAGUACCUCAUCAAAGAUCCACUUGCAAACACCAAAUUGUUGCAAGAGUUAAAUUUAUUUGAAAAGGAGCCAAACUAUAUGUUCAACAUUUGUUGGUGUUUUCAUGAAACAUAGAUUAAAAACACCGACUAUGGUCAUGUAAUUCUCGGUUUGUGAUAAUGUUUUAUAGAAACAAUUUCCACAAUAACCUGGAGAAUAAAUACAACACAACAAUAUUUAUCCCAAAAUCAUAAAUCGUAACAUUCCGUUUAAAAUUUAAUAAAUAAAUAAAUAAAUAAAUAAAAUAAAUAACAACCCUAAAACCCCGAGAUGUAUCUUAUAUUUUAUUUUAUUUUAGCCCUAAAUCCGUAAUAACUUAUCAGUGUUAGCAAUAAGGAGUUAAAUGAUAUAAUUUCCAGAAUUUGGUGUCUAUAUUGUAACAUUAGGACUUGAAAUGCAAAUGAUUUUGUGAAGCAGGGCUGUUUGGUAAUUAAUGGACUUAGUUUGAAAAACAAGGGGGAUGGAGGGACUGACAGUGUUAAAAACGCUUUAAGUUUGAUGGGUGGAGGCGGGACAAAAACCCGUCACCUCGUAUCCCUAGUUCCUCGUUUAAAAGUUUAGCACCCUAAAACCCUGAUCCUAAAACUCAGCCACCACCUCCUUGAUGCCAUAGUGAACCACCGAAGCCCGGGGAGGUCGUCGCUGACGAAGACACGAGUUGAAGCCGACACCGUGACUAUGGAGUUGGUCGGAAGAGCGAAGGCCUGUGGUGGUCGUUGUUGCUGCUAUCGGUUAAGAAACGCCCCAACUCUCCUUCUUCGUCUUUUCCCGCUGCUACAUCGUCGCUGCCACUAUGAUGGCUGUGUCGUUGUUGCCAUCACUUUCGACUACCAAACGCCACCACAAGGGAGGCUGAGUUAUUUUAAAAAUUUUAUUUAUGCUUAUUUGAAAUCAGAGUAUUCAUCUUAAAGAAUAAUAUUGCGAAAUUUAUUCAUAGAAAACAUGAUAAAUAUAUUAUCAAAGCAUUUUCGAAGAAAUGUAUUUUGUUUAUAUUAAAACUUUAGGAUGUUAUCGUCAAUACAUAAACAUAAGCAUAAACAGACCUUACAUUCAUUCACACUAGUAAUUUACAUCUCAUUUAAUCUCUCAGUGUAAAAUGUCCUCGUAUCGAUACCCGUGAUACAAAUUAAUUGAGUGGGUCAUGUUGGGAAACCUGGUGAGUACAUAAGGUUUUCAACCCACAAUAAUAAAGUUAUUAUGUUUCAUCAUCAAAGAAUUAACCCAAUUACCCAUCCCCAUUAUCUUCUUUAUUCUUAAGUAUCUUCCCUAAGAAUCAUCUAUUCCUCAAUAUUUAUUCCUAAGGAACAGGCACGAAGUCCAUCGCUGCCAGAGUUUAUAUAACAGACACUAUGUCCAUAGUUGCCGAUGUUAUUUGUUAGACACUAAGUCCAUAGCUGCCAAAGUUUAUCUCUUUUAUUGACAAUAUUAUUUUAGGGACUCCACCCACAAUACAGGUCAGUGGGUUUUUAGAGUACACUGAUAAACAUAUCAUUCACAACACCUAUAGGUUGCGAGCCUGCUAGUGUUCCACUAGAUUGUUUAGAAUAGUUCGUGGUUGUCAUUUAUACUCUGCUAGAUGACUAAGCCAUCGUUUGGGUCAUCGCUUCUCAUCAUCUUUCACCUCUUAUCAUCUAUAUCAUCUUUCAUCUUUCAUCUCUCAUCAUUCAUCUCAUCUUUCAUCUUUCAUCAUUCAUCUCUCAUCUCAUCUCAUCUUUAAUUUAUCCAUCUUUACCCAUCAUAAUUAUAGGUAUAAAAUACAUAUACAGUUUAAAUCGAAUAAAACAUGUAUAUUUUGUUCAUCCAACAUAGAUAUCAAGAACACAAAUAAUGUGCACACAUAGCACGAAAUUUAUAUUAAAUACUUCAUAUCUAUGUGUAAGAUGAAAGUAACUAUGCACUCACUUGUUAAAGUGAUGAUUCCAAACUCGGGCAAUGCUUCACUUCUAACAAUUCUAUUUUCCUUCGGCAAAACCUAGUACAUUACCGCUAGAUUUUAGUCUAAUAUUUAUAGCGACUAUUUACGAACGAUAUUGUUUCAUAAGUGUUAAACAAUACUUUUCUAACAUUAAGUACAGACAGGGCAGACAUGAAACACCAGAGGGCAGGACCAUUUUGGCAUUAUAGCACUUCUGAAAUCCAACAACCCUAUACGGCCC
rnacentral:lncRNA from 1 species